AGAGUCUCAUGGGCGAGUACUCGUGAGAUAGUUUUUCAGCCUUUAUGAAAAUAUAUCUUGCCACUGGAUGCACCUGCUUCUAAGUGGAGGCGUGGAGGCACUUAACGAUUCUUUUAUCCCUGUGAAAAGAUUUUUAAAGUUAGAAAAUGCCUUCUUUAGUGAAAAAUAUCUCCUUUCCAUGGUUGGAAAAUAUCCAAUAAGUCUUUCUAAUAAAUUUAUUCAACAAUCAUUAUUGAUUGUAUAUAAAUAAUUACAAUAUAUAAAAAUGACAGAAAAUGGAAUGAAAAAUUAUUAUCCAACAAAUUUAUUUUAAUAUUCUAAAUAUAUAUCAAAUCAAACAAAUUUCUUAUUUGAAAAUCGUACGCACUGCUUGGUUUCUAGAAAAUUCAGGCCAACGGAAAAUAAAAAUUUCCCCAUGAAACAUUUUUUUUCAUGUUGGUCAUAGUUUCCCUUUUAUUCUACUACUCGUUUUUCCCCAAUUUUAGGGUAUGAAAGAACUGUAAGAGCUCAGAAGGGUCAGUUGAACGACAAAUUUUGUACGAUAUCAGGUAUAGUUCUUUCAGUUACGCUUCAAGUAAUUACAUAUAGUAAGUAUAUUAUAUUAUUUUACAUUAUUUUUUGGUUCCCGCUUUUCUUUUUUGUGUGAAAAGAAUUAAAUAACUCAUCUGGUGAUAGUUUAUUUGUAGAUAUCGCGAUCACUACAUUGGACAAUUUGUAUAUUAAUUGUAUGACAUACAUAGAAUAUAUUUAUACACAAUGGAAUCUUUAUAUCUAUCUUAUAUCUAUUAUCUAUCUUUAUAUCUAUUCUUGAAGAACAAACGAACAAUGAAUUAGAUGAAUAUAUCAAUUUUUUUAAUAAAAAUCAAUGAAAGAAAGGAAUAAUCGAUUUUCAAUUUCAAAUCAGGAUUCAGAUAAAUAAGUAAUAAAUCGAAAAAAGUAGAUUUUUUAUCAAAAUCGAAAUUUAACUUUAUUUCAAUAUUCCUUUCAAAAUUUCUCAUUUGACGGUACUCAUAAAUCUCAACAUCAAACAUUAAUUGUAUGAUUCAUAAUAUAUAUAUAUAUAGUUGAAUUUCUAUAUAUUCAUUAAAAAAAUGAAAAAAUAUAUUUUUUUCAGUAAGAAAAGGAAUAAUCGGUUUUUAGCUUCGAAUCGGAGUUCAAAUGAAUAAAAUUUUAAAUAAAAAUUUUUAUUUUCAUUGAAAAAUCAUGAAUAAUAGAAAAUAAAUCAAUAAGAAACUUUUGACAACAAAUAUUAAAUUUUUAGAAUAUCGAGAAAUUUUCUGGUCAACAAAAUAUGACGAGUACAGUAGAUGAAUAUAAAAAUUCCAUGUAUAUAUAUGUAUAACUACCUUAUUAUAUGAUACAUAAAAUUCAAUUAUGAUAUUCAACUCAGCAAAUCCAUAACGGUAUACCUUUGUUGCUCAAGGUUUAACGACCAUUUUAACCAUUAAGAAGUUUAUUACUAACAUUUUUAGUAGCUCCCGGCAUUAGCUAUACGUCAGUUUGUCUAUUGCAAUUAACAACACUGAAUUUGCCUGAUUAACCAUUUCUAACCUGAAGGAAUCGUAACUACGCAGCCGCACCCUUCCGGUUCAUAAUAGAAACUGGUGACAGCGAUAUACUGUCGAUAGAUCGCAACACAUAUUGUAGUUAAUUCUGGGUUUAUAUUAUAUUUCUUUGAUGAAAGAUUUGGAAACACAAGCUUGAUUUUCGAUCAUUUUUAUACUUUCGAUGACUAAUUCUAUGAUCUUAUUAACAUGAGAAAUGUAUUAGGUUUGCUGCUGCACCGAUUCCCACGUUUAUUAGCAAGAAUCCACUAUUUUCAAUUUUCGCGCGAAGUGUGGGAAAAACUUAUCGGAUUGGAAUUAGCAUUGAAAAUAAAACAUUCAAGAAAUGUUACGGACUUAUUAAAAUAUUUUUGAAGAAACGUAUCUGAUACAUAUCUGAGAAGAAUUUUUCAUCUAUUUUGAGGAAAUUUUUCAAUUAAAAAUUCGGGAAGACGAAUCGAUUACUGAAAUGAUAUGAAGAAUUGCUGUCUUUGAAAAAAACAUAUGAGACAUUAGAUAUCGAAUGACGUCUGAAGACAGCAGAUCUUCGAACAGUAGGUAGAAAGCCUCUCAAAAUUCAGAACAAAGGAUAUUCUAUUACCGUUUCCCACUUAACAUGGAAAAAGACGCGAGUACAUCUGACUCGAAAAUGUGCUUCACGCCUGCAACAUUGACUUCGCGGAAUCCUUCGCACAUUUCAGAAUAUGUUUUGGAGAUAUUAAACAAUGUAGAUGAUACUAUUUAUGCUAAGAACAAUAUUGACAAAUUUUACUGUUGGAAUUGCAGUACUAUUGGACACAACAGUAAAAUUUGCAAAGAAUUUCAUCACAAGAAUGAACAUCGAUCUCAAUCGAACUCGGAACAAAUAUCACUAUCGUCAAUGAAGAAGCCAUUAAACUUCAAAGAACCUGAAGUGAUUAAACGAUGAGUAAUAGCAAGCAAGAUCAAGUUCAACAAGAAAUAAUAUAAUUAUUGGAAACAUUAAUUUGACUGGAAAUUAUAUUUCUUUUAAUAUUAUAUUUAAUUUUUAAUAUUAUAUUUAAUAUUUUAUUUAAUUAUUUUUAAGUGCAAUGAUAAAUAGUAUAUGUAAAUAAUAAUGCAAUGUAAAUAAUAACAAGAAUAAUGUAUAUAUAAUAAAUAAUGAAUAUCAAUAUAUCACUGUUUGA